GCUUACGGCCAUACACUCUGAAAAAGCCUGAUCUCAUCUGACCUUGGAAGCAAAGCAGAGUUUGGGCCUGGUUAGUACUUGGUGGGAGACUGAAUGGGAAUACUAGGUGCUGUAAGCU
ensembl:rRNA 5S_rRNA 5S ribosomal RNA